GUGCCAGCCGCCGCGGUAAUACGUAGGGUGCGAGCGUUGUCCGGAAUUAUUGGGCGUAAAGGGCUCGUAGGCGGUUUGUCACGUCGGGAGUGAAAACUCGGGGCUUAACCCCGAGCCUGCUUCCGAUACGGGCUGACUAGAGGUAUGCAGGGGAGAACGGAAUUCCUGGUGUAGCGGUGAAAUGCGCAGAUAUCAGGAGGAACACCGGUGGCGAAGGCGGUUCUCUGGGCAUUACCUGACGCUGAGGAGCGAAAGUGUGGGGAGCGAACAGGAUUAGAAACCCUUGUAGUCC
rnacentral:rRNA from 1 species